CGAAGAUGGCCUCGAACACGUAGCUGCUCGUCGCGUCCGGGUAGACGGUCGUCCAGUAGUUGGCCCCCAGGUGCAGGUCGAACUCCAGCGACGAGCUGUUCUUGCCGUCGUAGUUGCCGUACGCCAAGAUGGCCCGCACCAGGUACUUCGUCCCGGCCACGGUGGGCAGCGCGUAGCAGUUCCGCUCGCCGGACGGGAAGCUCCUCAGCGUUUGAUGGCGGGCGAAAUACCACUCGUAUUCCGCCGCUACCCUGUGGUUCUCGCCGGCGUCCACGUAGGAGCCGUCGGGGACGUAGUCGAUGCCGGUGAUCGUGUCCGUGUAGCUGUAGUUGGUGUCCAGGCCGCAGUCGAUGCUCAAGAAAUCUGCAUCCACGACUCAUCAGUUGUUGGUUCAUUCUGAGGUCAUGCAUAUGAGAUCGACGGAUCGACGAAAUGAAGGUUGAAGCCAGAGAUCGAUCGGUAUACCUUGCUGACUGACGGCGACAGGGGCAAAUAGCAGCAGUAAAACCAAGAACGCAGGCGCCAUAUAUAUAUAUUAAUGGUCUGAGCUAGGAACGACGAUCGAUCAUCGUAGCACUAAGAGUAUAAGACGAACCCUACUGUCUUCAUAGUAUUUAUAGAGUUAUUGUUGACGUACGUCUAGUCACACACACCAACGAUGUCUAACACUUCCGAGGCCGCAUCUGACCUUAAUUUGUACACAGCGAGAACGCCCUAAUACUAGUGAGGCCGCCCUAUAAUAUUAGUGAGGCCGGCCAACAAGUCAGUCUGGCCCGAUCUGUUGCCCAUUCUUCACCCGUUAAUAAAGAUCCAUCGGGAAAGGGCAUAACGAGGUUGCUUUAGGACCAGUAACGUCGUGUAUCGAUACCAACCAAAGAUACCCAAUCAAACAACAUUAACAACAUGACCGGACUGAAUUCCUCAGGCAAGGAAAGGUUUCCGCCUCGCGCGACCGCCGUCUUGGGAACAUGCUGCCCGACGGUAGCACUCUUCGCCUCGCCCGACCCCCUUGACGUCAGCAUGUUCGAGACCUCGGAGUGGAUCGCGCCAUCUCAAGGACGCCCGACCCCCUCUAAGCGACUCUGUCUCCAUCUCACCCGAAGGGCACGCCUUGGCCUCAGGCGCAACCAGGAUAACACAUGAACCCCCGCCACAUUGCCUACCACUCGGAUGGGAUAAGCACAACACUAUCCCACGUACGGGGACGUGGGAAAUACCGUUACCUGACACGACGACCAUCAUUCCGCUGUGAUCAGACAACAAUGACAACGAUCACUAUGCCACCUACUCCCCUCUCCACACAUAUCCAGGGUCAUGCACCUCUCGUCUCUCAACAGUAAAGGACCACAGAAGUAGGGAUGGCCGCGACGCAUGACACUAGUGCCCAGAGAGACCAAAACUACUAGAUGGUCAUGACAGUGGCGGAGCGUGGAGAUAAAACAAGCAGAGGCUAUUUCUUGUUUCAAUAACAAUCAUAACGGGUAGCGCUGAUCUGAUGGAGUACAACUAGACUCUUCUAUCAUUUUGUGUUUGUUCUUUGUACGCUGCGGCCAAUGCUUUCUAGUUUCUAUAUGCUUCAUAGCUUCAUAGAACAACUUUUCACAUAACAAUAUAAAGGAAAUAGUAGUAUAUGCAGUAAUAAAACAUGCAAGCAAGGGGGGCAGGAGCCUAGGUUUGCCUCUACAAGGCUCCGCCUAUGGUCACGACGUCCUUGCACACCAGGGUUGGCUGUGCACUUCGGACCCAUAUCAUCCCUUGACAUAUAAAAGGGAAUGGAGGACCCCUUACACAGGGGACGCAACAACACGAAAAACCACUGAACCCUCACUACGCCACACACCAGAGACUUGGGAGCCUCUCUCUCUCUCACUCACUAUUUUUGUAACCCUUAUUGCAAACCACCAUGCAAAGAGCAAUACGAACAACGCCGCACCCGGACAUAGAGACCUUCUUGCCCGAACCAGUAUACAUCCUUGUGUCAUCUUUGCACACCAUCCGGGCCUGAACGCGCAUGCAGAAGCAAGUUCACUUGUUGGUCUGUCUAUGACGCCACUUUAUACAUCAACAGGUAAGGCCACCUAGAACACCACCAAUUCUUGUUGAGAGACAUAACAAACAGUCGGGGUUGGAAAAGCUAGGGUAAACCCUAAACCAAAAGGGUGUAGUAGAUUGAUUUUUUUAAAGUUGAAUUCUUUAAUCGAGUGCAAUCCUCUAAUAUAUAUAGAUGAGAAUGAUCUUAUAUCAAUAAAAAUAUUUCAAAGGUGCAACCCACAAGUUUCUCAUGACCAAAGUUAGGUUUACCAACCCUUGGAACAGGGAAACCAGCCUUGCCGGUUUUAACGGUGCUAGUUCGGCUUGCUGGAUGACGCACAGAGAAAUUGGCCAGACUAGUUUAGACGGAGUCUUGAUGUUCCAAAUAUAUUUCUUGAUCGUCUUGACGCUAGGAAUUUGUUGGUGGAGUCCAUCUAUAUACUCGUCGGCACAUUUCUGCUUUCAACAGAGUUAUUAUAUAUUAUAUAUUUAUAUUACUAUAUCUCAACAUUCCGUAGAGGAAACAAAUCUCCUUUGCCCUUGAGAAAUACCCCGGUGGCCCCUUGUUAAUUGAAAACUACACGAAUGCAAGGCCUCUAUACUAGAUCAAGUCAAAAAUCAUCAUAGUAUAAUUUACAAUUUUGAUAAUUUGUAAGUGAACGGUAUUCAAAUUUGGUAAUUUGUAAGCAUUUGAAUUUUUUUGUUUGUUUGGUGGGAGUGGAGUUUUGGUGGGACGAGGAAAAUAAGAGGUGGUAGUCAAGUGGAGAUUUCGUUUUUAAUAUAAGUCUAUCAAACUAGUAGGACAUACAUUUUGUUGCCCAAUGUUUGUGCCAAAUGAUAAUGAAUUAUUUAUUGAAUUUAAUUAGGAUUUGUCCAAACUUAAAUUAAACAAAUUUCAGGACCUAUAAAAAUGAUAGUUCAAUAAAAGAUUGAUCUCGUAUGAGAAUUUGAGAGGAGGUUGACUCAAGUUAAUUAAAUAGAUGGCUAUCGUGUGUACUUGUGAGUUAAAGAAAGAUGGAAGACGAGCCACAUGUUAGUACAUGUGCCAUGACAUGAACGAAGAUCGAGCCUUGAUGUGAGUGGUGCGGCUCUAACAAAAGUUUUGUAGCUCCAAACACAAAACAUGUGAAGAGUGAGAGUUAGGAACAAUGGAUCGAUGGAUGAAAGAGGAGGGAGGAAUGAUGAAUGAAUGGGGGAGAGACCAAGGACCGAUGGACCAAGGGACGAAAGAGGAGUGAGGGAUGGAGGGACAAAGAGUAAGAGAUACGGAAGAAAUAAAUUUUCUCUUUACUAUUAAUUAGUAUCACCAUCCAUCAUGGCUUGUGAUAUAAUUUCGUACUCAAAACCAAACAGAGGAUAUGAAUCCCUUCUUAAAUUCUCAUUCUUAUCACUACUACAGAACACACAAUCCCUCUCGAACCAUCAAUGUCGGGUGUGUUGGAGUUAGUAGUGAGCCGACUUCACUGCUGGAUCGCAAGUUUAGGAACCAGACAAUGAUUGAGGAUUUUGCUAACCCAUCAGUGAAGCCCCCCUAUCACUAUCAGGUUGAGUCACAACCCAACCGUGAUAUAUCAUUACCGGGUAUAGCCAUGAGUUGUCAUUGAUAUGGGGAAUAUCACUGUCAGGUCAGGUCACAACCAAGUAGUGAUAUAUCAAUACUGGUCAUAGCUUGACGUGGCAAUGGCACCAUGAUACCACUGUCAGGUUAUGGAUGGACCCGGCAGUGUCCUAAGCAUUCGUUGGAUUCUCCUAGCCCUGAAUACUUAUUUUUCUUCAUUGUCAAAUCUAGCCACUCAUUGCUUUUGGUUAUAAACAGGCCAACAUUAUAUUGGUCCUUUAUUGUUUCUGAGGUGUUAGGUAGCAAUGCAUAGGUUUCUCUAGAUGUGCUCUUUAUAAUCCCCCAUUGGUCGGCUAUGUCCAAUCAUGUAUCUAUCCUAAGUUCUUCCUUCGAGCUUCUAUGGGAGGACCCCUCUUUUUGAGAGCAAGCCCUCCACAUAUACCUUCCCUUCGUACUCUAGAUGGUGCACGAGAUAUAUCAGAAAAAGGUUUAUGAAGAUGGAGUCACACCAUAAUGAAGAUGCUAUGUGAGCAAUGCUAGUGUAAAAUCAAAUUAGAAAAUUGUUCUAAAGAGCUUUUGAAGAUGCUAUAGCUCAAAUUUCCUAGUUAGAGUUUCCAUGUCAUGAAGUCCAUGAUCCGUGACCUAAUGCUAUCUAGAAGAGGUGCCACGUAUGAUUUUAUCUACCGUGAAAGGAAAGAAAGUGGACACAGAAAUAUGUCGUCUAGUGGUUAACAGGCGGCUUGUAAGCAUGAGAGAUAUUUCUUAUAGGAUAUUUUUAUGAGGUAUCGUCUUUUUACACUACUCCCCGAUAAUUGUUCAGUAGUGGCUUGUCUAUUGUAUUGUUAGACAACAGUUAGACAUGACAAGAGCGAUGACAAUGCCAUGAAUAAGCACCAGCACACACAACAAUUAUUCAUCGUAGGCAAGCUGUCAGUAGACUAGAGUAUACUAUGCCUAGUCACUAUUUCCUUUCCCUCAUGAGGUGGUAUACUCUAGUCGGUAAAAAUAUUUAUACCAUCAAACCAUAGAUUGGUAAAAAUUAUAACACAUCAUAUGUCUAUAUAACUAAAUGACGUCCAACUAUUGGUCGCUUUAAAUAUGUUGGUUCUAUAUAACUUUAUGUCGAUACCUUUUACAAUGUCUAAUGCCAUACCGACCGAUUCUCUGUUGCUUUUGAAGAUGCUAUUGCUCAAAUUUCCUAGCUAGAGUUUCCAUGCCACGAAGUCCAUGAUCUGUGACCAAUUGCUGUCCAGAAGAGGUGUCACGUAUGAUUUUAUCUACCGUGGAAGGAAAAGAAUAUGGACACAGGAAAAUGUAGUAAUUAACAUAAGGCCUAGAGAUAUUUCUUAUAGGCUAUUUUAUGAGAUAUCAUCUUUUUAGAUUACUCUCCGACAAUUCGUUUAGCAGUGGCUUGUCUAUUGUAUCGUUAGACAACAGUUAGACAUGACGAGAGCGAUGACAACGUCAUCAAUAAGCACUAGCACACACCACAAUUCAUCGUAGGCGAGCUGUUAGCAGACCAGAGUAUAUGACGCCUAGUCUCUAUCGCCUUUCCCUCAUGAGAUAGUAUACUCUGGUCGGUAUAUAUAUACCAUCAAACUAUUGAUUGGUAAAAAUUAUAACACAUCUCAUGUGUCUCUAUAACUAAAUAGCGUCUAACUAUUAGUUGCUAUAAAUGUGUUGGUCUGUAUAACUUUAUACUAACAACUUUUACAGUGUCUAGUGUCAUUGGUAGAUACCUUUUAUAAUGUCUAAUGCCAUCGGUCGGUAAAGGUUAUACCGACCGACUCUCCAUUGCUAUAACAGCUUAUAGCGACACUUAUGGAGUUUGUGUAGAUGGUGUGUGGUAUGGUACAGCGUCUUAGCUAUAUAAUGCAGAGGUGAUGUAAACAGAGGCUGAGGUAGAGAUGACAAAUUUGGAUAUCCUACUACUAUAUGUAAAAUCAGGGAUUAAGUUGACAUGUUAACAAGGGCAUUUUUGUCAUACCCAAAAAUGUAACAUGAGAAAUGAUCGUUAAUAAAUAAUAUGUUCCAUGGGAUGAGACUGUCAAAUAAGACCGGGAACAUAAUUUGUGUCGAGAAGAAAUUCUUCUCUUGGCUUUAAGUGAGGAUUGUCCACCGAGAAGCGUCAUAUAUUAUUACUUUGGCCACAAGUGGUGCUUGCUUCCUUAUCCGAUGAAAGGCAUAUUUGUAUAUCUCCGUGUUGAUCUCUGUAUUAUAAAUAAAUAUAAUAUAAUAUACUCCUAUGUGCAUACAAGUACAAUGCAAUAACCGGUCAACCGGAUGUUCGAUGCGACGAUGCCGCACUACUGAACACGAACACCAGCCUUGAUGGUUGAGGCGUUGACUGACUUGUUCUCCUACCCCACAAGCGGCUGAUGCACGUCGGUUGCGUCACUUUAUUAAUUACCAAAAGAAAUGCCCUACUAAUUAUUCUGAUUGAGUUGACAUUGCUGAACUAACUCUGAACCUUUCUUGAUGCGGACUAAAACUCUUUGUAUGGAUCAGAAACAAUUAAUGAAGCGCACGUUGGCCGUUUCCUAAAACUUCAGGCUACAUUUUCUUACACCAGCUUGCUAAUUUUAUCGUCAUAGCCAUAGUUGGCAAAAAUAAUGUACGUCUAUAGCAGAAAGUGGAGUAGUACCUAGGUUUCGGAAGCUGUUGGCACUAGAAAAACUCAAGAAGUUUUUGAGGUCACCAGAUAAUCCGGCAAGGCGAUCACUGUUUCAUCCGGUGUUUUCAACGGGUCUGCGGCCAACCGAAUGGUCCUGUGGGAAGAAAAUCUAUCCGAUGGCAGGGUUUACAAUUUCUGUAAACAAAAUCCAUCGGACUUCAAUGAUAAUAAAACAAAAAAAAUUUCAAAAUAUCCAAUCAAAUUCACAUAAAUUCAUUUUAACUUUUUUGGCAUGUAUGAUUUUGCUAUAAAAUAGGACAUAUUACAAGUGACAGCAUAUAUAUUAGAUAUAUCUUUUAUAUCAAACAUCGUAAUGCCAUCCUAUGGAUAUUCCUAAAUGUGUGGCUUACCCCACUAAACCCUUGGACUAAAACAUUUUGAGGGCCUAUACCUUCAGAGCAAAUUGUGACUACCACAAAAAGUUUGGCGAGCAAAAUUGAAGCGACACUUAUGGCAACAUAAGAAAGUUUAUGACAUGUGGGACAUGGUGCUAAUGGUUUACUGGGUGGUUUUGCUUAUAUGGCGAUGUGGCCCACAUGCUAGGUGGUCUUUCUUUUUAUCUCUACAACUAAAAAGACCCGAAGGUCAUCGUCUCCAGCGGUUUUCGCCCCUCCCCUUCCGUGGUUUCGCCCCCAUCUCUUGGUUUUGCCUCCGACUCCGCACAUCUUGGUCGCCCCCCUCCCCCCCACCCCACCCAUCCAUGUCCUCGGACUCCUCGUAGUCGUCGCCGAGCACGCCCGCCGCCAGCCCUCUCCGCCGGACACGUUCUCCGAUCACGCACGGUGCCGCGCCCACCGCCAGCCCCGUCCAAGUCGCAGCCUGCGAGCACACUCGCCGCCAGCCCGCCGGACACGCCCGCCGAGCACGCCCGCCGCCAACCCUAUCCGCCGCACACGCUCUCCGAGCACGGCCGCGCCCACCGCCUAGGCGACAAGGAGAGGGGGGACGCCUGUUGCCGUCAAGGUAGAGCUCGACGAGGAUCGUCGAGCUGCUGACGUGGCGGGAGAGACAACGGCGACAGGCCGUCACAACCCGUCCCAGCCCCGACGGCUCGCAAGUCGACCUCCCCAUCCCUAGAGGCCCCAGCGCCUGGUGAGUUCCCCUCUGGUUCUCCCCCCACUCUCUUCCUCUUAGCAAGAUCUUGUCACCAUUGCCCAGGUAGACUUCCGAGGUUCUGUGAUUCGUUUCUGGUCAAUCAAAGCAUUCAAUGGGGAAAGAACAAGAGGAGAUUACUAGCUUCACUGGGUUCUAUAAUAAAAGGUGUUUAGGGGUCUCUAAAACUAAAAAGACCCGAAGGUCAUCGUCUGCAGCGGUUUUCGCCCCCCCUUCCGUGGUUUCGCCCCCAUCUCUUGGUUUCGCCUCUGACUCCGCACAUCUUGGUCGCCCCCUCCCCCCCGCCACCCCACCCAUCCAUGUCCUCGGACUCCUCGUAGUCGUCGCCGAGCACGCCCGCCGCCAGCCCUCUCCGCCGAACACGUUCUCUGAGCACGCACGCCGCCGCGCCCACCGCCAGCCCCGUCCAAGUCGCAGCCUGGGAGCACACUCGCCGCCAGCCCGCCGGACACGCCCGCCGAGCACGCCCGCCGCCAACCCUAUCCGCCGCACACGCUCUCCGAGCACGGCCGCGCCCACCGCCAAGGCGACAAGGAGAGGGGGGACGCCUGUCGCCGUCAAGGUAGAGCUCGACGAGGAUCGUCGAGCUGCUGACGCGGCGGGAGAGACAACGGCGACAGGCCGUCACAACCCAUCCCAGCCCCAACGGCUCGCAAGUCGACCUCCCCAUCCCUAGAGGCCCCAGCGCCUGGUGAGUUCCCCUCUGGUUCUCCCCCCCAUUCUCUUCCUCUUAGCAAGAUCUUGUCACCAUUGCCCAGGUAGACUUCCGAGGUUCUGUGAUUCGUUUCUGGUCAAUCAAAGCAUUGAAUGGGGAAAGAACAAGAGGAGAUUACUAGCUUCACUGCGUUCUAUAAUAAAAGGUGUUUAGGGGAUUACUAGCUUCGUUGGGUUCUAUAAUAAAAGUUGUUAAACUUGUAUAAUAAACUUUUGUCACUAUGCCCUGUCAUUCUUGUGUAUGUGUCUAUUUUGUAUAGAUUAUAUAGAUAAUAACCAAUAGUUUGUCUAUUUUGUAGAGAUUAUAUAGAUAAUAACCAAUAGUUUGUCUAUGGAUGUAGUUUGUCUUGGAUGUAGUUUGUCUUGGAUGGUACUACUAUGCACACUGCGCAGCUAAGAAUUAAGCCUUUUGCUUCAUUAAUAGUCAAAAUGUUUAUAACCUGUAAUUUUUCAAAUGUGUUUCCUUCACUGAUAAACCUAUAACUUAUUUGUCCUCAAAUUUGCAGGAGCUGCAGCAGCAUGAAAAGUUCCUUCAUCUAGCAUUGAAAUCGCUCGAGACCUGUAAUCCAAGCUUCUAUUCAUCCAGGUGAGUCCGGUCGCCAUCACCCUUUGAUUUAAAUUGUUUAUUUAUUGGACCCUUACUCUUUGGUGCAGCAAGUUUAUUUUUAUGCCUACUUAUUAGAUAGAACAUCCCUUUUCUAUUCACGCAAGUAUAUUAUUGGUGCUGCAUCCCUUUUCUAUGUAUAAAGUGUUAUAAACAUGCCAUAAAAAUAAACUGGGUUUUUACUUUUUAGUGUACUUUGAUUUGAAUAUGAUAUGAAUUUAGCCACCUAACAUAUUUUUUGUAUGCAGUUGGAAUCAAGCAAAAGUAUGGGUUAAAGUAACAAACUAAAAUAGCUCUCAAGCUGGUAUUCUUUUUAGCCACCUAAAAUAUCCUUUUUACUCUUCUGUUGGCCUAUUACUAUAUUUAAUACUGUUUGGGGGUAAGAAUUUUGCAACUUAGUUUUGUUCACAGACUUUGAUGUUUUCUACUACUUGUGAUAAGAGACAACCUCUUCCACUAUAAAUGUGUCGAUUUUGCAGCCUGCCUGUGUUGCACCUCUUCUUGUAAUGCUAGGCCCGGAAUGGAUCCAAGACAAAGUUUGGUAAUUUCUUAAGUUAGAACUCAAGUUCCAAAAACACUUGCAUAGCUGGUUGCAGCAGCUAGACAAAUUUUAUUAUUAACCUUUUUCUGUUAGUUUUCUUGAGCAUUCACUACUUUGUGCUGCUACCUUAAUGAAAUGAUGCGUAGCUCUCCUACGUAGUUCGAGAAAAAACUACUUUGUGCUAAAGAUUUUAUUUAUAUUAGUAACCUUAGAUAUCCUGCACACUUGAUCAGAUCCAUAUCCUUUUUAAACUUGUAUACAUGUUUCACUUGAAAUAAAAGGUGUUUUCCAAUCAUUCGACAAAACACCUGCAUGGACAAUUUACAAAACACCUGCUUGGUUCAGCCUAUGAUAUUUUCUUUCUUGCAUUAUUAUAAAUAAAUGUGCAUCUUUGGUAGGAAAUGGAAAUCAUGUCACCAUUGAUUGGGCUUCACCGUAAUAAGCAUGAUAAAUAAGUGCAUGAUAGUAUCAUAUAAUUGCGUGGGGUGGCUUUCAAAUAAGUCAGGAUUUAUGGAAUUUUGUGAUUACUUUAAAAUCAUAUAGGCAUUAACGCUUACUUCUCACUCUUUUAGUAGAAUUGUGACUGGCAUUACCUGCAUGAGAGACUAGGCAGAAACUCUGAAACAUAGUGAAACUUUCCUGACUAUUCUGUAAUUUUGUUCAGAAUUGGAUCGUGGUGAGAAGAUUGAACUUUUGGUGGGUAAGACAGAGACCUUACAAUCACAGGUAUUUAUUCAGUGUCCUAUGUCUGUAUGAUGAUGUAUUGAAAUCCUGUUAUAGAAACAACAUUCAACUUUGUCUUAGAAUUUUAUACAGAAUGUGGCUCUUUAGAAAUCCUGUUAUAAAAUCAGAAUUCAACUUUGACUGAGAAUUUUAUACAGAAUGUGGCUCUUUACAAAUCCUGUUAUAAAAUUGAACUCAGCUCUCAGUUAUAUAAAAUUGCAAGUUGAGUGACUUUGUGACCUGCAGUUCUGUGUGCUUUGAUUGAUUUCCAUGUGUGAAAAAUCCCUGCAGUUCUAAGUGCUCUGAUUUAUUUGUAUAUUUCUUUUUCCCUUCCUCCAAAUUGUUGCUUUAGCAUUAGAAUUUGAGAAUAAGUAAUUUGGAUAAAAAUAGUACCUGAAUGCUUAAGUAACUCUGGAGUGAUUGUUUGAUGGCAGAAGUAGAAUUAUGAGACUCAACGUUCAAAGUGCAUGCUUAUGCAAACAGUGUGGGUCUCUAUGUAAGUGGUUUAAUUAUUAAAAGUGUGUUGAAAUGCACAAUUGGUUCAGUACCCCUGAAAAAUCCGGUGUUGUUUUAUUAGAAUGGGGAAACUGACAACAAACAUUUUGAGUUGUGAACAAUUAAUAUCUACAAAUUUGGGAUGUUUUAGUUUCACCUUUGCCAUUUGUUGCUUAAGUCUAGGUACUCUUAACUCUUUAGUGGUAGUUGGUGGAGUGAAGUGAACCGAUAUGUACAAAUUCGACCAUCUAUUUUUGCCUCAGGCUUAGUGCUGAAGUCCUGACCAGAUGUAACCUUGUCGUGUUUUGCAGACUGAGAAUUUAUCCGUGAUACAUGCUUUUGAUGGUGAAUCAUUUGAGCAGUGGUAUAUAAUUCAGGAACCUAGGAAGAGGUACCUGUCCUCUCUUGUUUUUUCUUUUCUCCCUCAAGUUGUACAUGAUUGUGAGUGUUCAAUAAAUGAAUAAGGCAGAGGCUACCCUUCCUAACCAGUAGCCUGCAAAUAGAGUGACUCUAUUCUUCUAGACAUGAAUUUUAACUAAAAAGGUUAUCUACUAUAGGUCUCCUAUACUCAUUAAAUAAAUAAAAAAUCUUCACUGGGAAAUAGCAGAAGUUCCUGCCUGACUUUGGUAUACCAGCCAAAAAGCAGAGUAGAGAGAAUCAGUUGCUUCCAGUGACUCUGUCUGUACACUGUAGCCCAUAUUUACAAGCAACUAUCUAUUUGCUUGCUGAAUGGAGGCUAUCUACAUGUUAUUCAUAUGACUGUAAACUAUAACUUAUUCUCGCAUAUGUGAAGAAAUAUAGUUGUAUACUAAUCCCCCUUUCCUCAUGGUACAGGCGCCUUUCAGAUGCACAUGAGUUGGUGUCACAAUUCUAUAACAUGAAAGGUAUUAUGUCAAUCUAUUUUUACUAUUCCCUUUCACGCUUUGGUAUUCUACAUCAGAAUUAUGUGCCUCACUUGUUAAGUAAGACUUAUGCUUGCUGAAUUAAGCAGAGAGCACAAGCAACAUCGCCGGUGUGCAGCAAUACUGGGAGCAACAAAGGUAUCUCCGGAAGAAAAUUUGGCUUGAAACCUGGCUAAGACGGGAAAUUCAGGCCCUUACUCGGGUAAGCUGUUGUUUCCUAUUAGCAAUACAGUUAUUCCAUAGGUUACAAGAAUCCUGAGGGCUCUUAGCUACUGGGGUAGGCGACCUAGCUUUUUGUAAGGAACUAAGGAUACCUUCAUUCCAAAUUAUAAGAUGUUUUGGCUUUUCUAAAUACGUAGUUUUUGCUAUGCAACUAGAUAUGCACUAUGUCUAGAUGCAUAAUAAAAGCAAUGUCUCUAGAGGGGUCAAAACGUCUUAUAAUUUGGAACAAAGAGAGUAUAUAGCUUAAGCAUCAAUUGGGAUCUGUGUUUAUGCAAGGAUAUCUGGAUUUCUCUUGCUUUACUCUUGUUAUAAAUAUUCGUUGUAUAUACUAGGUUGUGAAGUGGUAUCAGAUUGACAAUUGCAUAUUUGGAUACCAAUUUGGACUCCUAAAAAAUAUCAUGCAGUUAGGGCUUUUAUUUCAUCGUUAAUGGCUCGUGGAUCAUGGUCAAAAGAGACAGUAGGAGACACUCGGAUGGUAGUACUUCUUUUGUUGCCAAAUCACAGCAGAGAAGUAGUGGAGCAUGAUACAUGUUGUAUACUUGUAUUCUUCAAUAAUUAUGUAAUUUUCAAGUUGUUAUAUGGUGAUAGAGGAUAGUGUCCUUUUUUCUUCUUUUCAUAAAGGUGAAUAGCCAUGGUGUUGCUUGAUUGUGAUGCACAUAGGAUUUUUUCCCAUGUUGAUUGCCACUGACGGACUGAUGCAUAGCAAUGUUGAAUUUUUGCAGGAUGAGAACGUUGAGGCCAUAGUCUACCACAUUCAUGGUGUCAUUGGAUCCUUCAUGAAGAGGCUUGAAAUGGAGCACAAAUCAAGGAUGAUUUCACCAGAGAAGAGGAGGGAAGAGUUCAGGAGAUUGGUCUCUGAUGCUGCUAGGUCAUUCCUCCUUGCCCGAACAGAGCGAUUCGUCACCGAGGUUGAGCUCUUCCUGGUUUCAAACCUCAACAUGGAAGCAUACAACAAAUUGUGCAUUCAGAGGUUUAGGGAGUCCAGUUCCCAUCUAACGAGAGAGCAAGAUGCGCUGCCUCAUGAUCGGUCUCUUGAGGAGCACUACUUGUAUUUUGUAUGUAACGACACGGACUGUGAUGAGAUGUAGUGAUAUGCGAUUUUUGCCACAGGUGUCCUUGUUCCCUUGUACUAUGCUGCAAUUUUUGCCACAGGUGUCCUUGUUCCCUUGUACUAUGCAUGCGUGGAAUGGUAAAAGGAUAGAAACAUCCAUUUGCAAUAAUGUGAGUAUUAACCUUUGUAAAUAAUUAUUCUUUUUUCACCUCAUAUAGUUGAUUAACUAUAACUAUAUAUGUGUAUAAAAAUCUGGCAGGAUAAUUAUGAAGUGAGGAAGCAUAUAUUGCUACACCUACUCACAUAUAUAUGGAGAAUAAAAAUAUAGCUAACAUACCUAAAGGUGUACGAGAUCAUCUUGAGCGCUAUAUUAGUCUCACAAACAAAAAAAAUGAAUUGUUGCUUAUUUUUCCUCUAUCUGUGUGAAGUUAAAAACAUCUUUCUUGUUUGUUUAUUUCAGUUAUAGUAAAUAGAGUUAUGUGUUUUAACGUUGGUUAUUAUUAUUAUAUUAUUUGUGAUGAUAUGAAAUUUUAUAUAUAAUUUGUUAUGCGAUAUUUUACCCGUAGCAACGCACGGGCACUCAACUAGUGUUAUAUAAAAAACCAUAGCUUUUAUAUUACAUCAGAUGAAUAUAACUUUAUAUCAAAAUUGUAGAUCUCCAUGUAAUCUAAAAAUUUGUAGUUGGCAAAUUUUUUAUUUGAGAUCUUUUAGAGGCUUAAAUAUCAAUUUUAAUUUAUUACAUGUUCAAUUUUAAUUUUCAAAAUUUUCCAAUAACCUAUGAUGUUGACAUGGUCUACACCAAAGUUAUAGCUCUAAAUGCUAUUUACAGCUUUGUUGUUGUCAUUUUUAAAAAAAUUCAAAUGAGCUCGUACAUCUACAUGGUAUAGACCAAAGCGACAUAUCUCAAUGCAUAUAUAACUUUGUGGUUGAAAAUAUUUUUAUUUGAGAUCGUUUAGAUGCUUAAUUUUUUUAUUGUAAGUUCUCUAGUUAUUACAAUUAAAUUUUUGAAUUUUUUAAAAAUGACCUUGGAUGAAGACAAUACAGAUCUGUGGUGCUUGUAUACAUCUAAAACUUUCACUAGUAGAAUCAGGCUCAUAGCUGGCAACCCCUUUUUAUACCACAGGCGGUUCCAGUUACGACGCGCCUGUGGUAUAAAUAGGGCGGUGUCAGAGAUUUUCGGCUGCCUGUGGAAACAUUUAUCACAGGUGGUUGACUUAAGCCAACCGCCAGUGUAAAUACUCCAUUUACACUGGCAGUUGGCUUAAGUCAACCGCCUGUGAUAAACUGUUUCCACACGCGGUUGGCUUAAGCCAACCGCCAGUAUAAAUGGAGCAUUUACACUGGCGGUUGGCUUAAGUCAACUUCCUGUGGAAACAAUUUAACACAGGUGUUGACGGUCCUUAAGUAUCAAAUUUAAUUAUCAAAUAAACACAGAAAAGGAUCCAAAUGAAAUCAACAUCUAGACUUAGGGUUUUAUCUGACAGAAUUCCACGAGUUUUGUUAUUUGUCUAUUUCUGCAGGGGGUUAUCAGGAAAUAAGGAAGAAAGGCCCACAUGUCGGGAUUACAUAGAGAUAUCAACCCACCGCGCAAUUUUCUACCAUCUAGAAGACUCCAGAAGCCACGGGAAGGAAGCGGAGCCCGAAAGGGGCCAGGCCCAGGGCGCCCGCCCUGAGGACCUGGGCGCCCGCCCCCCUCUGGACUCCGUUCCGGACUCUCUUCGCACACGACGUUCCACCGACCUAUUGGAUCCAGAAUAACAUAGUACCACCUCGCCUAUCGACCCAAAAACGCAUAGAAGGGGAGGACUACCCCUCUGGCCCCUGGAGGAGACAAGAAAUUAUCAUAGAGAUUGAGGGGUGCCCUCGAAGGAAAACCUCUUCUCUAAAUAAUAUUUCUUUUUAGGCUUAGCAACCAAUGUAAAGUAGAAAUAGAUCUUCUAGUUUCUACUAGAUUGAGAGAGAUAGAGUGGAGGUGUGGAUCGGAGGAAGGCCGGCCUGUCGGUGUCUACUCCGAGUUGUACCUGCGGGAUCAAGUCUCCUAACCCGAGGCUUGCUUCUAAGAUUCUUCAGUAAUUCGACUUCUAAUACUAGUAAGUUCUUGUUUUAUUGUUCUUUGGUUUAUGAGUUUACUUUAAUCCUCUUCCGGUUGAGUAUUAGAGUAAUCACUUGUUAGCGUAAACGUGGUGUUUAGGCUAGGGUACUCAUAGAUAUCCCCUGACUAGCUGGACCGUGGUAGUAGCGAGGAACGUGACAUUUCCGAGUUACCUUUGCAGAUCACAUCUCGUUAGCAGGACGGGUAGGUUUAUAGGUGCGGGUCGAACAUCCUUUGUGUUGUCUAGAUUCCGUGAGCCUCCCCAAUAGAACAGUAGAUCAUCCUUACCAAGGUUAGAACGAGACUACGGUUGCAGUCUUCUCUAUACAUCACUCACAUCGAGAAACAUUCUUUGUAGCCUAAAGGGAUAGUAGCAAUAGAUUUGGUUAGUCAGAUGCACCCUUUCUCCCAGUGGUAAAAAUAUAAAUACGAUAACUCUGGAUAACCUUCCGGGUGAAAUGCUCACCGAUAUCCGUGCGCUUGCGGAUCAUUUUCUAAUUGCGUUACCAAAUAUCAACAAGCAUUUCUGGCGCCGUUGCCGGGGAGAAAGACGGUUUGCUGAGAUAACUUUGAGUCUUGCUAUUAUCUUGUAUUAUACUUUUAUACUUUUAUUCUUUUAUCUUUUUAUUUUUAUCUUUAUGGAUAACUCAAAUUCCAUACCUAUUAUUGAAUUCUUUGCACCUUCGGAGACCAGCCAUAGACCAUGGGAGUCAACACGUUCUGCCCCUAAUUAUGAUCUGUGUCCGGAGUUGAUUGCAAUAGGUCAAAACCAACCCUUUUCUAUAGCCGAGGUCCUAUCUUUUAAUCAAAAAGAUAAUGCACUUUUAGCUACACCUAGGGAAUCUAUUAAUCUUUUUAUAAAUUCUGGUUUAGACCUAGCCCUACAAGACCAUGUUUUUCCUAGAUAUUUUCACAUUGGUCUUAAUCAUAUAACCUUUGGUAGAGUCCUUCUUUCUUUAUCUAUUAGUAAAGGAAGGUAUGUCUUCAUUUGUGGACAUCCUUCUUGUACUAGUCUUCAUAGAAAAAUCUUAGAGAUAGAGAAGGAAUCAUCUCCCAGACGAGGAAAGGAAGUUUCAAUAGCCGAUUUCCAAACAUUUCAAUCCCAUAAUUCGGCUAUCCAACUCAUCCUAGAGUUUAAUAAAUUCUACUAUGCUCUUUCUCUUGAACCUCCCGAUAAUCCUAUGAAUCUCUCUAGACAUCCCAUGCAUAAGAAGGAGGAUCGAGAAGAGCAACAUCGAUGGCUAGAGGGCAUUAAAAAUCCAUGUGCUAUCACCAUUGAAUGGAUAGAUAAAACAAACUUGAGAGACAAUCCUAGAGGAAUUUUAAGCAUUCAUGAAGAAUCAUCCUUGGAGUUUGAGAAUGAGAGAAACAACAGUGAGCAUGGAAGUUAUUUCAUAAAUACCUUACCAAGUCCUUGCGCAUAUAAAACAUCUCCCCAAUCAAUCGGUCUCUCCAUCAUCACCACAUUUGAGAUCUCCAACCCCCUCUUCCUUUCUAUUUAUAAAAACUUUAAAAGGGCGGUUGUCGAUGCAUAUGUCUAUAAUAAAUAUUGUAGAUCUCGUUGAGUUGAUCUUGAUAUAGGUAGGUGUUGGAGGGGAAACCACUUCACCAACAUAACUUGAUGGUUUCCCAAGGAUAAGCUUAGCAAGCACUUAUCAGAUCGUAACAUGAACUUCUAAUUAUUUGCAACAUUGCCUUGUGUAUUGAGCAUAUUGAGAUAAUUAUAGAAAUAUUCCUUCGGGUAUUCUUGCCACUAACCUUUCCAGGAUUGGAGCAAGAAGAUCGGAUGAAUGACAAGCGCAAGGUAUGCCCAACCAAUCAUCAUGCAACGUUAAAUUAAAUUCAUCCAAUCUUGAAUUUUGCAAAAUUCAAGCUUGGGGGAGUACUUUACAUAAAACAUCCUUUGCCAUGCUGCUAUGUUGGUUGUCCUUACCUUUGAGACAUGCUCAAUUUGUUAAAUACUAAUCACACCACUUGAGUAGAUCUCUAUAAAAGCCAUCAUGCUACCUUUGUUUAUCCUAGUAAGUGUUAGUUUGGAAGUACUGGACACACUUCCAAUGGCAUUUAAAUUAAGCGUGGUGCUUAGGUUAAAUAGCCUUCCUUAAUCUGAUUAGACAUGGAGUCUAGUUUGGUUACUGAACUAAAAACUGCUUGAGUAGAUAUUGGUAUAUUUUGUGGGACUAACCCCUGCAGGAGAACUUUCAAUAUCAACCUGGAAAGUCCUGAGAUAAACUCAAAUUUGAGAUGAAGAAAGUGACACAUGAAGUUUAACAAUUUGCACAAGAAAGACGUAGCUCAUAAGAGAUGAUUCAUGGAGGGUGCCACAAACACGAUGCACAACCACUAAGAAAGGAAAGCUUCCACAAGGUGAUACUAUACCAUCACUCUUCAAUAACAUUUUAAAGUACUUGAUUAUCACUUUUAUAAGUUCUCCUUGGUUCUGGCAUACACAUGAAUAAAAGAGACAAACAUGUAUGAUUUAUAACUCCAAAUUAACCAACUCAAUUAAUUCAGCAUGUUUAGUCCUUUAAUCUUUGUUCUUCGUACUACCUUCAUGAUCCCACACUCCUAAUCAUAUAAGCUAAAGUAUUGCACAUUCAAUCUUUGGAAGAUAUAAACAAAACAUAAAUAUAGAUAGAUUAUCUUUCCAUUAGGUUGAGCCAUCUGAUCUGACAAAUGCUACACUCAUGAUCCAUCAACUUUGUCUUGCUCACUAUGCUUAAGGUUAGAGAAGAACAAAUACACUUUUGGUUCUGUUGGUGUUUUCCACCAACAGGGCCCAUGCACUUGAUCUCUACCUUGUUUCUAUGAGCAGGAACACUUCGAGCAUAAUAUGAAGGAGUUUUACAACUCCCAGAUUCCACCAAGUGAAGAACUAGGAUCUACGAGCACAAACACACUGGAGAUACUGGACGCUCAGGCAAUCACUGCCCUAAGAUGCUUGAGGACGUGAACUACAUCAACAACAAUAACAACUAUUACUACAACCGUCCCCAACAACAUCAAGGUUGGAAUCAACAGAGGCCUAAUUACUCAGAGAGGUGAUCUAGGAUGCCCUGUCAUCCCGAUCUCCAUCGGCAUGGUGGACUUCCCAGAAGCACUCUGCGACUUUGGCUCCAGCGUCAACAUUAUGCCCAGGGUUGCAGAUCGGACACUCAGUUUCCCAAAGGAAAUAUUGAAGAACCUCUGCGUCCGAGUUGGUACCUUGUAUGCUCUAGCAGACUUCAUGGUGAUAGAGACUGGUACUGAGGAGAGGGCACCCAUCAUCUUAGGGAGGCAAUUCCUAAACACUAGAGCUAUCAUCUACGCUAAUGCUGCCAAGAUCAGUCUCUACAUCAAGGGGAAGAAGGAGACUUUCCUUCAAGAACAAGACUACACAAACUUCAGAGCAACCCCGACAUCAACCAAGGAAGAGGACCAACAGGAGGAACAGGAACAAGCAAAUGUGGACCGAGUCAGCUAAGAUGGUCACUGCAGUUCAAGGAGGUCAAGAUCGUCGACUCAAGUCACCUUUCUUGAUCAAGAAGGACAACCCUAGUGUUCCAAGCAUUGAGUGCACAAUUAACAGAUACUCUUUUUAGAAGACACUCUACGACACCGGAUCUGACGCCAACAUAAUGGCCGUAGUCACUUAUCAGCUCCUGCAUGGAACCAUGCCCCUACAACCAAUAUAUAUUCAGCUCCAGAUGAUUUUCAGAUCAUUGACAUGGGAGACGACGAGUACGAUCCACCCAUCAUCCUUCGAAGACCGUUCCUCAGCACUAUCAAAGCCAUUAUCUAUAUUGGAACCGGAGAAGUCCACAUGCACUUCCCCUCUGAGAAGGUACGCAGCUAUUUUACUGACCCUAACUAUAUAGUUGAAGACUCUAAACAGGUCAGGACAAGAAGAAGACAACGCAACCGCAACCAGAAGAGGCAAAUCAUCAAGGACGGAUGGGUAGACUACGAAGGAGAAGUGAUAAGGACUGAAGACAUACCACUUGAACAUAACUGUCCUGAGGAGACCGUAGCACCGAGUUAGGUGUGGAGAGAGAAGAUAGUUAUAAAUGAAGAGGAGGCGCUGCCGGAAGUACCGACUACGCCACCCAACGAACCUCUGGACGAUUAAGAAAAUGGAGAGUCCCGCUCGGAGGACUUAAAAACACCGAACGCCUUGCCAAGAGGUAAACUUGGUAGUUAUCCUUUCCCUUUUAAUUAUUUCAAAUAGUUUACUUAGUUAAUCAUGUUCGUAUUAUCCUAGAAAGAAAAUAAAAAUGUGAAAAAAACUGUAAGCCCCAUGUGAGUAGACGAGUGGCAUAAAACCCAUAAGUACAUUCACUGUGGUGGCAUAAAAAUAAAAUAAAUAUUUUUCUGCUUUAUAAAAACAAAAAUAUAAAAACAGGGAGUAAUAUUUAUUAAGGAGUCUCAACAUGAUAAAGGCUAGAUAUUUAUGCUAACACUUAAUCAGUUCCACAAGCUUUGUUGUCUAUUUGAGCUCCACAGAAUUUAAGAAUCAAGAAGACUACCAGACGGAGGACAUUCUAAUCUGUCAAAAUACUGCUGACUUUCAAACACACCUCUGCCACCUGCUAGCUACAUCAAGAGAAAUUACGUCAAAAUUCAGCUUCGGGGAGAGCACCCCCAUUUAUCUCGAUAAGUAUUUCUAUCUAUCUUUAUACUUACACUAUAUUAGAAUAUUAAACUACAUAAACUAUGAAAAACCCAAAUAAAGAUUUUGUGCUUUUAUAUAUAUAUCUUUGCUUAGUUUGCUAAAUAAAUAAAUAAAUAAAAUUUGCUAUGAACCCUCGUGAUAAGCUCUCUCAUGGAAAUGAUGAAUAGUUGCUCUGCCAUGACUAGUUCUUAAAAUUGAAAUCUCUCUCAAGUUUAGGCAUAACUGUUAUAAUUUAAAGCUUGCUCUAGACCUAAACUUGUGGGAUGAAAACUUGAUCUGAAGUCUAAGUUGUUAACGGACUGUUGUUCAUCUGUUCCUAGAGAUGCUAGAAUUCUGGAGAAUUUUAUCUUUGAAAAAUCUUUAAAAUAACACAUGAUGAGUUCCUGUAUGAUGAGAGUUUAAAUUCCUACCACAGCCAUAUAUACAUGCUUGCUAGACCUUGAGCCACACAUUUACUAUUUACUGCUUAUGAGCAUUGAGUGUGGUCAAGCUGUGUAGACCCUUAGGAGCUUGUCAUGUGGUUAAAUCAAGAUUUCACUUGCACGUUCACUCAUAUAUGCUACUUCUACUCCGGAAGUACCAUCCACAUAUAUCCACCCAUUCCAUCUCCAGAAUCAUCCAAAAAUAUUCUACUCCUAAUCCGGGAGAGAAUAGCCAAAAAUAUUUUCCUAUCCCUGUUAUUCCCUGUGAAAUAAAUGCUCAAGUUAUCUUGUUACUACCACUUGCUAUAUUAUCUCAAGAGAUGAAUGCUCUGAAAAAAAGAGAAAAAAAGAGAUACGAGGAAAUAAAAAGGAGCAAGUGCUCGGAACCUCGAAAGAAAAGAAAAAGUGAGACGAGAGGUAAAAAUAGACAAGUGUCCGACAUUAGAAAUUAGGGGUACAAGAUACCCACCUGAGAUAAAAGAAAAAGAUGAGCAUCUCAUUCUCCUCAUAAAGUUUCAAAAAGCAAGGAAGGUAUGUAUCCCCUCAAAGAGCAAAGUAGAAUUAGACUUCCACCUCCAUUGUUUUCACCAUUGUUAUCACCAUCAUCACCAUACACCAUUCAUUCGCCACACAUGCACAUCUUGAUUUGGCUUAUUGAUUUGUUACUUUGGAUCCAUGGUUUGACUAUGCAAUAAAUGUCUUGUAAGUAUGUAUACUUUAUCUCCCACCUAUGAGCUCCAGAUAUUAAAGCCUUAUUAGAGUAGGGUGAGAGAGAAGGCAAUGUCACUAUGCCUCAUACCACAAAUACCACAUAUUUUGAGAGAAUGCAUAUACCAUCACUGCCUUGGUAAAGAUCCAGAAAUACCACAAAAGAGAGACCUGAGAGAAUCAUACAAGGAAUUUCUGAGUUUUAUUUGAAAAUCUGCAAAAACCCCAGAGCUAAAGCUGAUCAAGAAUAAGAGACAUGGCACUUGGCUAGACUGUUCUAUCUUUUAACCACUCAAGACAGAAGUGACGGUUACAAGUCCUAUGGUGUAGGUAAAGUAAGUAAGUUUUAAGUCUUAACAGUUUAUUCUAACUCAGAGAUGAGAUCUUGCUUAAAUGCGUGUGUACUUUUGAGAAAUGAAACCACUGCAGAAACUCUUGAGUUCAUCCUUGCUCAGGGCCGAGCAAGAGGUAAGCUUGGGGGAGUUUGUUGACGGUCCUUAAGUAUCAAAUUUAAUUAUCAAAUAAACACAGAAAAGGAUCCAAAUGAAAUCAACAUCUAGACUUAGGGUUUUAUCUGACAGAAUUCCACGAGUUUUGUUAUUUGUCUAUUUCUGCAGGGGGUUAUCAGGAAAUAAGGAAGAAAGGCCCACAUGUCGGGAUUACAUAGAGAUAUCAACCCACCGCGCAAUUUUCUACCAUCUAGAAGACUCCAGAAGCCACGGGAAGGAAGCGGAGCCCGAAAGGGGCCAGGCCCAGGGCGCCCGCCCUGAGGACCUGGGCGCCCGCCCCCCUCUGGACUCCGUUCCGGACUCUCUUCGCACACGACGUUCCACCGACCUAUUGGAUCCAGAAUAACAUAGUACCACCUCGCCUAUCGACCCAAAAACGCAUAGAAGGGGAGGACUACCCCUCUGGCCCCUGGAGGAGACAAGAAAUUAUCAUAGAGAUUGAGGGGUGCCCUCGAAGGAAAACCUCUUCUCUAAAUAAUAUUUUUUUUAGGCUUAGCAACCAAUGUAAAGUAGAAAUAGAUCUUCUAGUUUCUACUAGAUUGAGAGAGAUAGAGUGGAGGUGUGGAUCGGAGGAAGGCCGGCCUGUCGGUGUCUACUCCGAGUUGUACCUGCGGGAUCAAGUCUCCUAACCCGAGGCUUGCUUCUAAGAUUCUUCAGUAAUUCGACUUCUAAUACUAGUAAGUUCUUGUUUUAUUGUUCUUUGGUUUAUGAGUUUACUUUAAUCCUCUUCCGGUUGAGUAUUAGAGUAAUCACUUGUUAGUGUAAACGUGGUGUUUAGGCUAGGGUACUCAUAGAUAUCCCCUGACUAGCUGGACCGUGGUAGUAGCGAGGAACGUGACAUUUCCGAGUUACCUUAGCAGAUCACAUCUCGUUAGCAGGACGGGUAGGUUUAUAGGUGCGUGUCGAACAUCCUUUGUGUUGUCUAGAUUCCGUGAGCCUCCCCAAUAGAACAGUAGAUCAUCCUUACCAAGGUUAGAACGAGACUACGGUUGCAGUCUUCUCUAUACAUCACUCACAUCGAGAAACAUUCUUUGUAGCCUAAAGGGAUAGUAGCAAUAGAUUUGGUUAGUCAGAUGCACCCUUUCUCCCAGUGGUAAAAUAUAAAUACGAUAACUCUGGAUAACCUUCCGGGUGAAAUGCUCACCGAUAUCCGUGCGCUUGCGGAUCAUUUUCUAAUUGCGUUACCAAAUAUCAACAACAGGCGGUUGACUUAAACAACCGUCUGUGUUAUCUCUGUAUAAAUACCCCUUCUUCCUCCUCGACCAGAACAGUAUCUCGCAGCCACCUUCCAUUGGAGGCGAUUUUAGAGUUCCAGAUUUCUCAAAAUACAAGGGGGAAGGUUUUGAUCUUCAUUUCUAGGAAGGAGGUUGCUAAAAGAGGUUAGUUUAUGUCCCUAUUGCCUCAAUUUGCUCAUUCUAGCUCAAUUUGAACCACUUUUUGGAUCUAGGGUUUCACCAUGAGUGAGAGAGAAGAAUAGCUAGCUUUUUGUCUUGAUUUGUUGAUAUGGUUAGAUGGGGUUGUUUAAUAUGGUUGGAUAAUGUCUCUCAACAUGUUUGCUUCUCAAUUUAGCUAGUUUUUACAAGAUUAAACCAAUGGUGUGUUCUUGUAUAUUUAUGUAGAGAGAUAAUUGUUGAUUUUUUUAAUUAUAUGAUAGUUAGGUUUUUUAUUGUCACCUUCCACAUCAUCUAUCUAUUUAUAAUGAAUAUUGUAUUUAUAUAGUUAUGCUAUACUUAGGUUUUCUAAUUUAUGUCUCUCUCUUUUUAUAAAUUUUUCAAUUUAUUUAUCAACAUGUAUGUAUGUUUUAUGAGUGAGAGAGAAGAAUAGCUAGCUUCUUGUCUUUAUUUGUUGAUAUGGUUAGAUGGGGUUGCUUAAUAUGGUUGGAUAAUGCCUCUCAACAUGUUUGCUUCUCAAUUUAGCUAGUUUUUACAAGAUUAAACCAAUGGUGUGUUCUUUGUAUAUUUAUGUAGAGAGAUAAUUGUGGAUUUUUUUAAUUAUAUGGUAGUUAGGUUUUUUAUUAUCACCUUCCACAUCAUCUAUCUAUUUAUAAUGAAUGAUGUAUUUAUAUAGUUAUGCUAUACUUAGAUUAUUUUUUAAUUAUGUAACUUAGGUUUUUUCCUUUAAUCUCAAGUUUAACCAUAAACCCUAGAUAAUAAACCCUAGAUAAAUCCUUUGCAAACCCUUAGAUCAUAUGAAUGGUGUUUUACAGGUAGUGAUGGAGAGGUCAUUUUGGAUAUAUAAUUUAUCAAGACUAGAUCCAUCAUACAUAACUGAGGUCCAGAGGUUUAUUGAUGCUGCUCAAAACCAUGCUUCAAGAACAAGAAAGACGCACAUACAUUGUCCAUGCAUGGAUUGUAGAAAUCUUGUUGUAUCUGAUGACAUUCAACAAAUCCUUACUCAUCUGGUCCGUCGAGGAUUUAUGAAAGAUUACUUGAUUUGGACAAAGCAUGGAGAGGGUAGCUCGGCGCCUUAUAUAACUGGAAUUGUUGACGGGUUUUAGUUCGUACACGAGACACAACAACCUAAUACCGAUGGUCUAGCCACUGAACAUGUUGUGUCAAAUGUUCCUGAUCAUGGUUUUAUUGGAGGAAAUGAAGAUGGCACCGAAACUAACUCCUAAACCCUAAACCCUAGCUCCAGAGGAGGCCCUACACAAAUACAGGAACACAAUUGGUAUCUGUGUGAGGGACUUUCUUGAUAUCACAGUUAAGAACUGGUCCGGUGUGUCGAAUAAUCACAAGAUCAAAAUUUGGGAUAAGAUUAAGACAAGGUUCCAGUUUCCUAGGAAUGUGCCAGAAGAUUUAGUGAAGGCAUAUACAAUGAAGCAAUGUGCGGUUAGUUUCCGAAAUUGGAGGUCGGAGAUGAAUAUCAAGUAUGCAAAGACAGGGAUGGAUCCGAUAUCCAAAUACAAUAUUACUAAAGGGCAGUGGGCUGUUUUUCUAGAGCAGAGGAAUGACCCUAACUUCUUAGCUCGGAGCGAAGCCAACUCCCAGCUCGCAAAGAGGAACAAGUACCACCACCAUCUAGGCACAGGUGGUUACCGGCACCAAGUUCCUAAAUGGAGGCAAGAAGAAGCUGCGAAGAAGGCAGUAGGGUUGCCAGUGCUGUUCGAGCAAGUCGGUGAAAGGUCCGCGAAUUGGAUCCGUGCUUGGAAACCAAAGGAAACCGAGACGGGUGUGUCCUUUGAAGACCCAAUGCUUGAUGAAGCAAUGAAGAGCAUCUUUGCAGUGGCAGGCAUGCAGCAGGAAGGCAAGUUUACGCCAUGAAGGGAGAGGGACAUCCUUAGUGUUGGCCUCGGUAACCCCGAGCAUCCUGGCCGUGUUCGAGGCAUCUCAUCCAAAGAAGGAUGGAAGGAUGGAUUCGGCCCUCAAUGGAAAAAUGAGUAUAAGAAACGUGAUCGGUACAAGGAACAAAUGGCAAAUUAUUUUCAGGAAGAGGCUAAGAAAGACUUCCAAGAGAUGAUGGGGAAGUUGCUAGAAAAUCCUCCUCCUGAGUUGAUACAGAAACUAGCGAGUGCCAUGUCAAAUGCAGCUACCCAAAUGAGCACUCAAGCUCCCCAAAUGCAGCUAGUCCCAGUGGUGUCGCAACCGUUGGUGGCAUCGAGUGAAACAAUCAUUCCAAGCAGUGUCGCAUCUACGGCAAACAAGGAUCACUAUCCAGUUGACGACAUUGUUACUUCUACACCUUGCUCCCUUGUCAUAAGAUAUGGGAUUAACAAUCAUCGUACAAGGGAAGUAGCCACGAGCAAAGCGAUCCCAAGAGGACCUAAAUACCAUGGUGCUGACAUUCCUAAAGACUACUGCAUAGUAGAGGUAUCAACCGUGGUCCAAGGAUAUGAGGAUGAGAUUCUAGACAUCCCUGGUCCCGAGGACACUGUGAAACUAGGACAGGUGAUAAACAAUUUCAUCCUUUAGCCUCGGAGGGACGUGCAACUAAGGAGCCACCACCACCCUCUCAAGAGAUUCCACUAACCCAGGAGUCGUCAGCUCAUGUCGAUCCUCUUCCUAACCCACUGCCUUCACCUCCCCAGUCUCUUCCUGACCCACCAGAAUCACUUCUCCACGUUUUCCCUGUCCAUCAACCAUCUCCUCUCUAUGUUCUUUCUACCCCACAGUCAACACAAUCUCCACCACCAUUCAAUUCCACCCCUUCCCCACAACUCAAAGAUCCAGAACCAAGAAGUGAGCCACCAAAGGUGCCAAAGAAGAAAGUAUUUCCAAUACCUAAGUUGAUUUCACCAUACGAGCCAAAGAAAAAAUCAGCUGGGCAAGUGAGAUUUUUGUCAGGCAUUGCUUCGAAACGCACAAUACAAGAGCACGAGAUUUCUGAGCUAGCAAAGUCAGAGGUGCCGGCGCCUAAGGUCAUAACUCCUGUCAAUUUCAAGGUGCCAACUGCAGAAGACUACAAGAAUAUCCCCAAAAAGUACGUGUGGGGAAAGCCUCUACUCAGUCGGACCAAACUUAUGAAGAAACCAAGUGGUAUAAAAAGGUUUCAUGACUGGUACAUGAGAGCCUCUUCUGCUGGCAUCGACACCAUAAGCAUGCGCAUACCACAAAUAGCAUUUCUCAGCCACAAAUAGCAUUUCUACUGACAAAUGCAUGUUUACAUUUGAUGACAUGUGGGCAUUGAUGAACCACGAGAUGCUAGAUGUACAGAUCGUAACGACAUUUGCAUUGUAAGUGUUACAUAGUUACACACAUUGUAGUUGCAUCAAUUUUCAAUAUCUGACAUGCUUCUAUCUUGCAGAAUGUUAUAUGAUCAACAAGAUUUGUAUUUUGGUUCGGAUCUUAAUUAUUGUGCCGAAGAAAGAAAUGCCUAUCUCUAUCCAAUAGAUAUAGCUGAAGAUCGGCACACAUUCCAGAUCGGGAAUGACAGCAGAGAGGUACAGGGUUUGGAAGGUGCAGAACGGGAUGAGAAACUCCGAAAAUUGAAACUUGAUUUUGAUGCCAAAUACGCCUUCUACAUUGGAAAUUCGCUAAUAAAGUUUCAAGAUAGAAAAGCGUUGGUGGCCCCGUACCACUUUGGGUAAGUGUGAGUUUACAAAUAUCUAUCUAAAUUAUUCCAAUGCAUAAAUGCAUCAUGGAUUUAAUUCGAGCAGGAGGCAUUGGAUAUGCUUCAUCAUUUAUCCCAAGGAGGGAAGGGUGUUGGUACUAGACUCCGCAGAUUACCCGAAAGAAAGCUAUGCUCCAUUCAUCAAACUGCUAGAGCUGUAAGUCAAGCUAUGCAUGCAUACUUAAGCAUAGUGAGAAUUUGACAAUAACAUGGUGAUUCUAUUUGAGAUCAUAGGGCAUACAGGUUCUAUAAGAUAAAUCAUGGAAAGUGCGAGUCCAAGAGACCAGGGCAACCAUUGGAGGUUAUACAUAACUGGCCGGUACGUAUAAAAACUUACUAUUAAGAAUACAAAUCAUACACAUACAACCACAGUUGCAACUAUAAUUAAAUAACCACUCUCCUGUUAUACAGUGCAUGAAGCAACCACCGUUAUCUGUCCUCUGUGGCUACUACGUGUACGAGAACAUGAGAGAAAACGGACGAUAUGCAAGGAACCCUGACAAGGUAAUAUAAGUAAUAGUCUAUUAAAGUUGGAAGUCAUAAAAUAUAUAAUGUUUAUAAACUUUCUUUGCAGGUAUAUAAGCAAGGGACGACGGAGCGCAUGGACGAACGUGCUUUAGACAACAUAGUUGAGGACAUCUGCUUGUUCAUCAUGAAGCAUGUCAUUCCACGUGAAGGCAAAUGUCAUGAUGAUGAAAGCCAAUUAUCCAGGCCACAGUUCCGAGUGCUAACAGAGAUUAGUAAGCUCAAACUUACUAAAGAGGGUUAUUAGAGAGCAGAAACAAACUUUGAUGUGUAUAUAUAUAUGAUGUGUGAUGAUGGAUAUACUCUUGUAAUUAACUUUAUGUCUUUGAGCACCAAACUUUGAUGUAUACAAAUGUAUGUAUGAGAUGAAGUAUUUAAAUUACAUGUUGCUAUGUUAGAAGACCAACCAUCAAUAUAUUUAAAUAAUAAAUAAAUAAAUAAAUUAAAAAAAUAAAUAAUAUAUAUUUUAAUAGGUUUACACAUGCGGCUCUGUUAGGGAACCGCCUGUGUAAAUGAACAUUUACACAGGCGGUUCCCUAAGAGAGCCGCCUGUGUAAAUGGUUUCUACUGGCGGCUCUCAAGCAACCGCAUGUGGAAAUGGACGAUUUCUACUGGCCUCCAGCGCAGACGAAUCUGGAAAACGCCUGUAGAAAUAUGUUACCAACCGCCUGUAUAGUGUGCCCAUGUACUAGUGUUUCUGGUUCAUUUUUUUCCAUUUGAGAUCCUUUAAGAGGUUAAAUAUUUAAUAAAAGAUGGUAUGACUUAAAAGACUGAAAAUGGUAUGACUUAAAUAUUUAAGAGCUUGUCAAGACUCAAGGCUCAGGAGCAGGCAGCUCAAUGAGCUCGUGGACAACCAAAUGGAUGAGUUUGUUGGGGUUGCCAAGAAAAUGUCACUAAAAGUGGCAAGGACAAGCUGGUAUAGCUGGCGGCUCAGUGCAGUGAAUUUGGGUGAUCCUUGCUUCAGAUGGCGCUAACUUGGGCUGUUGAAGCUCUCCUGGCGAGAUCUCUUUUAGGUAGAAUAAGAGGCAAAUGGUAUCAUGUCAUCGUAGUGUUAGAACCAAUACAAACCUAGGCCCUGAGUAGAUUUUGUCAUGGCAGAUUUUUAUGUACUUCAGUUCUGGAGUAUUUGAUGAGGAUGUUAUGCAAAAUCAAAGAAAAUUGUUCCAUACACUGCUUCUCUUGGGGCAUUGAUUGAUUUUUUAGUGUGUCAACUGAUUAGUGAUAUGUUUACAAUUAUUGUGUAUAUCAUUAUAAACUACAAUUUACUUUGAUUUUGUCCUAGGUCAGACAUAUCUAACUUUAACCAAGUUUAUAAGGAAAUGCAUUAACAUCCACAACAUCAAAUUAGUUAAAUUAAAUGGACCAUGAAUCAAACUUAGAAGUUAAGAGGAAGUUAAAGUGACAUAUAAUUUGAAAUGGAGAGAGAGAGAGAGAGUAAAAUUGUGAUAAUUCUAAAAGUAAAACACAGAAAAAUGCAAAUUAACAAUAGCGAAAAUUGUAGUAACAGUGACGAUAGGAUAUCAAAGGAAAAUAAUUGAAAAAUAACAAAGCUCUGUAUAUGGUGGAAUGGAAAGGCACAUUUUCUCAAUCCUUGCUUCAGAUUAUUCAAGCUUUUUUGUUAUCACUAUUACUAGUCACUAACAUACAAACAGCCAAACAGGGUAACUAUUUGUUAAAAGUACAUACAAAGCAUGGGGAGCUCACAGUCCCUGGAGAAACUGCAACUUAACCUUAUUACUCGCACACACAAGCUCGGUCUCUCCAAGUCCUUGAACAUACAUAUAUACUGCAGAUUCAAAACAGUGCACAAAUAUACACUAGUGCGUCUUCACAAGACAAGUUCAUAAGAAACACCCGUUGUAGACUUGUAGAGGGAUGCUGGGAUGCAUCAACCAUGAACCGAAACCAGGUACAGGCACAGCUUCAUCUCGCCAAAGGACGAAAUGUGGACACCAUAGCUUCUAUGUCACUCCCUCGGCUUACCCUGGUGCUACUGUCCUUCUCACGAGUUUCCUCCAACGCUAGGCUCUCCUUCAACUGUAUGACAACGGUGGCCAUCGUUGGCCUUUGAGCAGCAGAAUCCACGGUGCACAUCAUAGCCGUGUCGAUUACCUUCCACAUGGAGCUGAUGUCAUAGGCAUUUCCAAGUCGCACAUCGGCAAUUGAGCCGAUGUCGCCAGUGGCAAUAUUCUGUUUAACACGCCGAAUGAUGUGGCCAUGGCCUGGCACUAUUGGAGGCUUGCCAGUGGCUACCUCAAGUAGAACAACUCCGAAGCUGUACACAUCGCUGCUCUCAGUGAGCCUUCCAGUGUGGUAGUACCUGAAGAAACAGCAACAAGAAGUUCAAGAUAAACACUUCAUACCAGCAGCUGGCAACAAUACUUCACUACAGCAGAGCUACAUGCACAUUCGCAAAACACAGCACCAGAUGAGCCUAAUUGCGUUGAAUAAGAAAACUGCAAGAGAAGGAAACCAUGUUGCCUGUAUUAAGGCGAGUUUUACUAGUUUUCUUUCACUUAGUACUCAUUCAAGAAAUAAGCUACAUGGACAAAAAAAAGAAAUGAUAAUAGAAUACAAAUGGAAAGAUAAGACAUACUCAGGGUCCAUGUAACCAGCUGUGCCAGCUGCAGUGGCUGAUAUGUGAGUUUGUGUAUCGCUAAGAUAUGUCUUGGAAAGUCCAAAAUCUGCGAUUUUAGCUUGCAGAUUUUGACCCAAGAGAAUGUUGUUGGUCUUCACAUCACGGUGAACUAUUGGCAAAUUGCAACCUUUGUGCAGAUAAUCCAAGCCUUUAUAUUUCACAGGAAAUGCCAAAAAAUGAGAAUAACAAUAAUGACCACAUGAAGGAUCUGCUUAAUUCCAGUUUUCUUGAUGUGCUUUUGUUGCGGCAUACCUUGUGCAGCUUCAAGCACUACUUGUACACGUUUCCUCCAAUUCAAGGCUUCAGAAACACCAUUUUUUCCUUCAAUUUUUAACAUAACAGAACAGUUUAAAAGCUUCACGUGUAAUUUCAACAAAUUUAUGGAAUGUUUCCUUUUCCUAGUUUUGAUAUGAUCUUCUAUAAUGGAAUUGCAAUAUAGUUAAUAACCAAAAUAAAACCGAUCCUCUAACAUACACAUUAGCUGAAGUCAUACACUAAAAUAAAAAAAAAACGUAGGCAGGUAAUUGGGUGUAGCUCACAGCAUCAAGUCACCCCUCAUCCCAAUGUUAAGAUGGACUAACAAUAUAAGCAGGAUGCUGGCAAAUAUUUUGCAACCAAGUUGUCACUAAGAUUAGGCACUUCAGUAGGAAGACGUGUAGAUAUCCCAAAAAAGGCUUCUGAUUUUUCAGAUACCAGAAUUAUUUAUCAGUCAGUCUGAUAGGAUUGCGGGAUCCUACCGGGUUUGCUGCGGAGAUUGUAGGGAUGAGUGAUCGGAGGUCGAGGACGAAGGCGGCACUAGGGCGCUGUGAUCCAGAGCUCGUGAGAGAAAGAAAGAGACGACUAGGGCAGGGGUUAGUUCUCCCAGCUCCGUAAAGGAAGCCGAGCAAAUAUAAUUGCUCUUGUUUGAUUAUAUCAGUAGAGUUUACAGAUAUUUAUGUCCCUUCUACUUCACCUAUUUUGCUAAAUAACCUAUCUGGGACUAAUAUAAAUUGCAAAUACAAAGAUAACUGAACUUAUAAAGAUAACUGAGCUCGACUAUCAGCCCAUUAAUCAUACGUCGACCAUAAUAUCUUUCCCCACCUGGACAAACAGCUCGUCCUCGAGCUGCAAGUUAGGAUAGAGGACUGAGAGAACUGCUGCAGCGGCUCCCAUGUAGCCAGUGGCGGAGCUCGCAUCCAAAUAUAGGGGGGGGGGGGGCAGUUUGCAAUGCCAAAUCCCUAGGAAUUUAACUCCCUAAACACAAAAAAUGUAUAUUGUUGUUGUUUUUUGUCUUGUCUUUAUUCCAAUCCAGUUAAGAGAGUAAGAUCCAGAGAUUGUUUGUAAAAUGAAAUACAUCCAAACUAGGAAAUUUGGUACCAUCUUAAUUUCUCAUAAAAAUAAUAUCAAUCAUAAGUAAUUAACCUUGAAAUUGCUAGAUAUACUACCAUCUAAUUCUAUUUAGCAUUCAAAAUUCAGAAGUAUGGAAGCAAAUAAACAGUUGUUUAGUUUCCAAUUUUUUUAGUUUUGGCUACUGUAGCACUUCGUUUUUAUUUGAAAAUUAUUGUCCAAUUAUAGACUAACUAGACUCAAAAGAUUCAUCUCAUGAUUUGCAGGCAAACUGUGCAAUUAGUUUUUGUUUUUGUUUAUAUUUAAUGCUUCAUACAUGUGCCGCAAGAUUCGAUGUGACGGAGAAUCUUGAAAAUUUUUUGGUUUGGGGGUGAACUAAGCAAGGCCUCUUCCUACCUACACACCGUAAGUGACGUGACCAGCAGAAUAGGUCAGUAGAUAGCAGAGUGGUAGUAGAUAGAAUUGAGGCCAUGUUUAUUUCCCAAGAAAAUUCGCAAAAUUUUUCAGAAUCCCCGUCAUAUCGAAUCUUGCGGCACAUGCAUGGAGUAUUAAAUAUAGAUUAAAAAAUAACUUAUUGUACAAUUUACCUGUAAUUUGUGAGACGAAUUUUUUAAGCCUAGUUAGUCCAUGGUUGGAUAAUAUUUGUGAAAUAUAAACGAAAGUGCUACAAUGUCUAUUUUGCAAAAAAUUUUGCAACUAAACAAGGCCUGGAGGCAUGCGCAGUCAUGCAUGCAAGCGUCCUUGUGCCAUGCCCGGGUGACAACAGCGCUGUGUGUGCUGCUAGUCUGUUUGUGUUGUUUGUUUAGCGUUGCAGCCGAAGGCCAACCGGGGGGGCUGCCUAGGUUGGCCGAGCCGUAGCUCCGCCAGUGCAUGUAGCAUCAGCGGAAAGCAGGGGCUUCCGGAGCCACUUGGAGGGCCACCUUGGCACCGUCAUCGUCCACUACUGCGUCAGUGAGGAAAUCAUCAGCUUCAAGAAAGAAAAGCCGCUGGCAUUGGUGGCCGCGCAUGUAUGGCUCAAUGCAGUUGAAGCAUAGCCCCUGAUGACAAUGCUCGAGCAUCUCGGCCGGCUGUCAGGUGGUGAAACGGUGCCAACACCGGAGCUUGCUGCGGGGCAGGCAGUGGAGGUAUGGCUGCAGCUGGGUCAGGAGCACGCGCCUGUGCAGCCGGUGCAGGUAGUGCCAAUGGCUAGCGCUGAGGAGGCGAAGUGGUUUGCUGGACAGGGACCAGCAAGGUAGUCGUAGCACGACGCUCAAACACCCGAGCCAGGUACAUGGCCGUCUAAAGGUCCUGGGGCUCCCGCAACUCGACGUCGACCUUGAUGUGCUCCGGUAAGCCGCCCACGAAGAGUUCCGCCUUCUGUGGGGCGGACAAAUUGCGGGCAUGACACAACACCAUGUUGAAGCGACCGGAGUAGUCCUGGACCAUCGACAAGAAGGGCAGUCGGGCUAGCUCAGACAGUCGGGUGCCACCAACCGCUAGCCCGAAACGAAGAUUGCAGAGCUCCUUGAAGCGUUCCUAGGUAGGCAUGCCCUCGUCCUGCUUGAGGGCGUAGUACCAUGUUUGGGCCGCACCCCGGAGAUGGUAGGAGGCAAGCCAAGUACGGUCGGACGUAAGAGUAUGCGGAUCCCGAAAGAAUUGGUCACAUUGAUUGAGCCAAUUCAGAGGAUCAACAGAGCCAUCAUAGGUAGGAACUCUAGCUUGUAGAAUUUGGGCGUUGCGUGGGCGCCGUUGGACGCACCCGGUGCUGGCGCGCCGUAGCUACCGCCCCCAAAGGACGCGGAUGCGGAUGAAGAUGAGGCACCUCUGUAGUACAUGGCGCCGUCCGAUGCACCGUAGAGAAGCCCCGAGGUCGGGGCGGAGGGAACAACCGAGCUGAUCGCGGUGGACGGCAUAGGAGACGUUGCUGCCGUGUAGUUUGGCGCGGAUGUCGAUCCCAACGCCCAUGAUGGGAUGGGGGACGGGGAGGACGACCACUGCAUCGGAUGGAGGGGCACCCCCGUCACGCUGCUCUGCGGUAUGCCGUAGGGAAAAAUCGCCUGCUGCGUUGAUGGCGCCGCGGAGGGUAGUGCUGGUGGCGGUGGCGCUGUGGGCAGGACUGGUGGUGCCAUGGCCGCGGGCUGAAAUGACUGGACCAGCACCGCCACGGUAGCCUGCAUCGCCACCAUGGAAAUCUGCAUCGCCGCCAUGUUGCGCGACAGCUCAGCGACCACCCCCGCAAGAGAGUCAAGCAUAAGCGGUUGGCCAGAAGACGCAGAGGAGAGCUCCGACGAAGCUGAAGGCGGUGGCGCAGCUGUGGCGGCUGGGGCUACGGAGGAGGCUGGCGGCUGCAUGGAAGAUGGAAGCGGGCCUGACAUUGCCGAUACCAGGUUGAUAGGAUUGCGGAUCCUACCGAGUUUGCUGCGGAGAUUGUAGGGAUGAGUGAUCGGAGGUCGAGGACGAAGUCUUCGCUGGGCGCCGUGCUCUGGAGCUCGUGAGAGAAAGAGAGAGACGACUAGGGCAGGGGUUAGGUCUCCCGGCUCCCUAAAGGAAGCCGAGCAAAUAUGAUUGCUCUUGCUUGAUUAUAUCAACAGAGUUUAUAGAUAUUUAUGUCUCUUCUACUCUACCUAUUUUGCUAAAUAACCUAUCUGGGACUAAUAUAAAUUGCAAAAUACAAAGAUAACUGAACUUAUAAAGAUAGCUGGGCUGGGCUAUCAGCCCAUUAAUCAUACGUCGACCAUAUCACAAUCAAGAUAGUUUCUCAGGUCCAAACCAUGCAUAGAUAUUUCAAAAGCAAAUUGAAAAGAUCACAUAGCUGGUUAUGCCUAAAUCAAUAAUCAAUACGCUUUCCACAGACAUACCUCUCAGAUGAUCAAAAAGACUGCCCUGAGACAUGUACUCAUAAACCAGUGCCAAAUGAUCUUUCUCCCAACAGUAACCAAUCAAAGACACUAGAUUCCUGUGAUGCACCUUUGUCAAGCUCUGGACCUAUGUAACAAGGUACGGAACAUAUAUUAUUUGCAAAGUUAAAUGGAUAAUAUGCUUUUUCUAGGCCACUGAAAUUUGGUACCUCAGCUAAAAAUUCAUCAAGCCCAUGUGAUGAUGAUUCAGAACGCAUCUUGACAGCAACCUCGGUGCUGUCUUCCAAACGGCCAUAGUAGACGGGCCCGAAACCUCCUUGUCCUAUGAACUUCUUGAAAUUAUUAGUGAACUUCUCGAGCUCUUUGUAUGUGAACUGGCGAUUCUCAGUUUUAUUCAGGUUGUACCCAUGACCUUUUUUGCUUCCUGAAGCAUUAUCAGGUUCUGGAUCUCUUGUUGGGCCAUUUAUGGGGACUGGUUGCACUAGUAUCAGAUAAGAAAGGUCAAGUAUUAUAAAUUGAACGGUUAAUACAUGUCACAAAAGAAUUGAGCAACAGGAUGCACACCAUUAGGCUUUCUUUUCUCCCACCAGAUGAAAUAUGCAAGAAGAAGUAAAAUUACUACCAACACAGGAACCACUACUGAAAUAGCUAUGAUAGUUGCUUUAUUUCUUGGCGGGCUUGGUGAAGGUUUGUUGCAUACAGAGCCAGCAUCAUGUCUGAAAGUACAGAAAAUCAGAACUGGAUCUAUUUUCGAGGAGAAAAUGUCUUAAACAGUCACUUGUUUGAUGGUCACAGCAAGUGAUACAAUACAAACUCAGAAGCAUAUUAAUGGAAUGGAUAUUGAGAAAAAAAAAAUUCAGAACCUGAAAAUAAGUGGUGCAGUAUAAUUUUUACAUAGGGACUCAUUACUCAGCUGGUUGCCAGAGACAUUUCUGUAGAAAGUGAAAGGUGAUUAGUAACAUCCUUGGGUUGAUAUUAAUUUGCGAAAAAUAUAGACUUACAGAACUCGUAGGGAAGGCAAACUUGGUAGGGAAUCAGGUAUUGGCCCGCUCAACUGGUUGUAAGAUAAAUCUCUGAAACAUUUGCACAACUACAGUAAGGCAAAAAGUACAUAGAUAUUUCGAUUCAAACUCUACGGAAAGGAAUUUAACAUAUCAAGCUAGUAGUAAGAAAUAAAAGCUUUGUAGUUCAAUAAUUGGGAUUGGGAACAUAGUCCUGACAAGUAUGCUUUGGUACAUCAAUUAAUUUUCUAAUAGCAUUAUGUCCAUUUAAAUUCACUGGAGCCAUUUGAUCAAAACUAAAGAGCAAGACACAUUAAAUAUUGAUAAAUUUAAACAUAAAAGAGUGAUUUAUUUUAUUAAUUCAUAAAUAUGAUGAUGCAGUUAUGCCAAAUAUGGCCAAAAAAGGCUCUCCUACUAUAGCCUCAUCCAUUCGAUUGAUAACUACAGAUUUGAAACAGAAUAAGACAUGCACUAAAAUGAGGUGCAAUGCAUGCUACUACUACAGUAGAACCCAACAUAUGUCAUGAGUCCUAUCUCGUCCGUAUAGAGGCUUGAGCUUGGGGAGAGUGGUUUAUGGUAUUAUAGUUUUACAGAGGUACUCCCAAAAAAAAAAACUCUGUAGACUGAUCCACCAAAGUUAUUAGCACAGAACACAUAAGCCAAAGAAACUGAUUUAUCAUGAUCACAGGUAGUAGAACGGGAUUGCCAGUCAUGGAACGUGAAGUCUUCGGACAUAAAUAAUGAAAGCAGAUUACAUUAGCCUGUUAUGCACUUACAAAUUCUCGAGUGCUGUGAGCAGUGUAAAAUUCUUAGUUAUUGUGCCAUGCAAAGAGCUAUUGGAGAGAUCUCUGCAUGAGAAUUUGUAAUUCAACAUAAAUCAGUUAUUGAAUCUACCAAUAAGGCAAUAAUACACUAGCACAUACGAGAUCAUGAUGUAGGACCUCCUCAAUAAUGUAUCAGAUACUCACAUUGAUGUUAUCCUCGACAUGUUACUAAUUGCACUGCUGCAUUUCACGCCGUCCCAAGCAAAUUUGAUUGGAAAACACGGAUCACCCAUCCAGUUUUUCUUCACCCCGUACUCGAUUUUGAUAGCCAUGAUGGCAUCAACUAGCAUGCAAAACACAUAAGUCAUGACUAUGUUUGGGAACUAGGUGUAAUCACCUAGAUACAUGAAUGACAAAACAAUUGCAUAUACAAGAGAGGAAAAGGGGAAAAAGUCUAUUCAAAGUAGAAUCUUUGGCAAACCAUUUUAGCACCUUGGCUUCAGACCCAGUUCAGUACCAUAACCUUAAGGGGCAUUUAAUCGAGCACGUCAGGUACAGGGGUGGGUGCAAGGUAUGGCGCAUGAGGUGGCCGUUGCGAUUGGAUCCUAAGACGGAAGGGCGUGGGGAAGGAUGCUUAAGGGCGCAGCUCCCCGCCGCUUCCGCGUUGUAGAGGGUGAGGUCCUUGCCACCCCUCAUUGCUGGAGUCUGGAGACGCCGCCACCAUCACAGCAGGAAGGAGAUGGCAAAGAGAAAUCAAACAUAUGGAAUGGAAGGUUCUUCCACGACUUUUUUUUUUUGGUGGCAGCACGACCAUGCUUGAGAGCCUGUUUGUUUCCUUUUCUUUUGCGAGUCCACCAUUAUGAAAAGCAGAUCGUGGAUUGUGAAAAACAGUUGUAAAACAUCUCUAAUGCUCCUUCCAUAAAAAAAUCAAUUUCUAAAGUUAUUCUAAGUUAAACUUUUUAAUCUUUAACCAAAUUUCUAGAAAAAAACUAAAAUUUAUGAUAUCAAAUCCGUACGAUUAGAUUUAUCAUAAAAUAUAUUUUCAUAAAAUACGUAUUUUAUUGUCAUAAAUAUUGUUAUUUUUUCUAUAAAGUAAGUUAAAUUUUAAAAGGUUUGACUGGUACGAAUUCUAAGAAUCGAUUUUUUUUUAUCGAGAAAGUAGUUUCUUAGAUAUUUGAUAAAUCAACAAGUUUUUCAAGUGACUAAACAAGUUAAGAGCAUAUUUGUUGGCCAGAACUCCGGCUAUCACCGGCACUGGAACACAGAACACACACACGCGAACACACAAAAUUUGUGCUGCCAACGUUGUAGCAUUUUCUGACUAUUGAUCCUUUUAUUUGCUACAGGUGGGCUCCAUGCAGAACCCCAAGAGCACGGAGCGAGCAACUAGGGAAGAAUAACGUUCAGGGACGAUAAAUGUAACGGAAUGGGAAUGGGGAAAGGAAAAUUAGGUCUUGUUUAGUUCACCUUAAAAAUCCAAAACUUUUCAAGAUUUUCCGUCACAUUGAAUCUUGCGGUACAUGCAUAGAGCAUUAAAUAUAGAUGAAAAUAAAAACUAAUUACACAGUUUGUCUGUAAAUCGCGAGACGAAUCUUUUAAGCCUAUUUAUUUCAUAAUUGGACAAUGUUUGACAAAUAAAAACGAAAGUGCUACAGUGUUAUUUUUUCAAAAUUUUUUAGAACUAAACAAGGCCUUAGAAACAAUGGCAGUGAAGGUAGAGGAAGAUUUGUGACCGCAUUGAGGGAAUCACUAUAAAAUCUAGUGGCAUUGAAGGAAUUAACUCAUUCGUCGUAAGUUCAUACACCCUUUUAUAUUUGACCAUUAGAUUUAACAUGGCAUGAGCAUGCCAUGUCAAAUUUAAAGGUCAAACAAAGGGUUAUAGACCUGCGAUGAACUAUUUAAAUAGUCUAUGAGUCUGAAGGUUACAUUUAAGGUCAAAUGAAGAGGUAUAGACUACGAUGGAUCACUUUUAGAGUAGAUAGCUCUAACUGAAAACCCGGCAUAAGUUAAUGGACCUAUGAUACGUUUAACUCGUGAGUUUAUAUUUAGUUCCUUUUAUCCAUUUUAGAGUUGUUUGUUGUCACAUAAAACAAAAAAAAAUAUAUAAUUUGAUAAUUAUCCAAACAUAAUAGAAUAGUGUAAAAGUAAUACAAGAUCCGAUGAACAUAAUAUUUGUGCUUUCAAAUGAUAGAUGAUCACUGCUACUCUCUCAUAGCAAUUUGUAUAUAUGAAGGUGAGGAGUAUGAGGGAAGCAGCUGGAUAUCGCUUACAGUCACUAGGGAGUGUCGUCGGAUUCUCGUACGGGACGCGAACGUAGAUCUCGAGCGCAUUGAUCAUCGGAGGCAGCAGCACGGAGGCGUUGGUGCAAACAAGUGUGAUGUUGUACCUGCCGUCGUUAGCCCUGUAGGAUUCAGUGUACACCGUCUGUGAAGCCAGGUACGGGGGGCUGUAGGACUUGAGUUUCCGCCCCGACCCAUCCUUCUCGUUGAUGAGGAUAUCAAACUGCCGAAGCUGGGUGUCCUGGAAGUCGGCGAAGUGCUGCAACAUCAUGAACGAGUACUUGGUUUUGUAUUGCCAGGUGAUGGCGGUGAGCGCCGUGUCGUUGCCCGAUGCCGCAACGGCUGUCUGCAGAAUGCGCGAGGGCACGGCGUAAUCACUCCUGUCCGGUUGAAUAGGCCGUGUGGUCGAUAGGUUCACCCACCCUGGGCUAGCAUUCUCCAUCGGCCACCAGAAACGGUCGUAUGGAUCGUCAGGAUACCUUCACGAAACCAAAGAAAUUCGUAGGGUCGUUGAGAAUCAAUCUGAUUUAUACGCCAAAAAAAUCAAUGUACAGAGAGAAGGAUGAGAAAGAUAAUCCUAAAGCAUACAGAUGCCAUUGGAGAUUAAUAGGAAAUGAGAAAUAUAUAACAAGACAAGCACGCCAUUGGAGAUUAAUAGGAAAUGAGAAAUAUAUAACAAGACAAGCACUAAUAAUAAACAUUAUUAAUUAACAAGAACAAUAAUAAUAACAAUUAACAACAUAAACAAAGUAGAGGGUGAAGAUAUCAGAUCUGUUGCAGCCAUGAUAUCAGUCCUACAAAACUUUUUUUUAUAUACUAUAUAUCCCACAAAUUUGGAUAUUGAGGAAUCCCGUUUAAUUUAUACACUAGUGCUAGAUAUGCAAUUGAGAAAAUUCUAUAUUUAAUUAAUUCUAUACUUGAAUUAGGAAAAAAGAUCCACUAAACUCGAAAUUCUAUACUUAAUUAAUUCCCCUUCUAUAUCACUGGUUAUAAGAAAAUGAGAUCUCUUUUUUUUUUAGUUCAUUGGAGCUGUUUUAAGAGCAUCUCUAGUCUCCAGGAGUCCUCCAAUAAUAUCUCUCAACAUCCUCAUAAAAUUAUACUGAGUCGAGUCUUUUUUUUUUCUCCAGCAAUCACCCAAUAGAUCUUUUUUUGUGACCACCAUCAAUAUCUUUCUUAUCUUCGCUAAAUAAGAGAGGAGUUACAUCUCCCGCAUAUGCUAGGUUCCACACCAACUACCACUUUUAUCUUCUCUAGUACACUUGUUAGCCAAUCUAAACAUCUCCGAGCUCUCCGACCACAAUGCUGCCUCCCUCGGAGCUCCAGACCACCAUGGCUAGCGAAGAGUUACGUUGCAGAGGGAGAAGAGUAGUUUGGAGAGGCUGGCGGAGUUGGAGUCCUUUUGCUAACCUAGCUUAUAUACCUAAAAAGAUUGUAAAGUCAUCAUCUGCUCUGUGAAAUCAAAUCCUGUCUACCCGUAUUGCACUUGGUAGCCAGACACGUACGAAGUACGAUGCCCCACGGGCCACGGUGGUAGAAGUCAGAUUCAGAUGUCCCACACCGCGUUCUACUUGGUUCUCAUACAAGAUGGGAUCCAUGUACCCGCGUCUGAUACAAAACACUUGGAGCUAAAUACAAAUUCAUGGGCUGGUGCAUAUCUAUCUUGCAUAUAUUAUAUGUUGUCAAAGUGCCUUUUUUCUACCACUAAAAGAAUAAGUCACACCCAUAUCGAGUGGAACCUGGACGUACAAUUUCCAAUCAGUUGAGCAACAUUUAGCUUGUAGAAAUUAGCAUUUGUUUUCCAUGAUUCUUUCUUUUUGCAAAACUGAUUUUACUUAGAAAGAAAUUAGCUAAGGGAAUCUCCAUGGGGUUCAAAAACCAACUCUUAAUCUUGAUUUUUUUGGCAAGAUUGAAAAAAAUCGCUCCCAAACAACUUCUUAUCUCAACUGUCUUUUCACACCUGAAAAAAUCGAUCUAAGGCAAAAAGUUUUGCCAAAAAUUUUAGAUUUUUCGUCUCAUCGAAUCUUGUGGCACAUGCAUGGAGUAUUAAAUAUAGACGAAAACAAAAACUAAUUACACAGUUACUUGUAAUUUGUGAGACGAAUCUUUUAAACCUAGUUCAUGAUUGGACAAUAUUUGUCAAAUAAAAACAAAAGUGCUACAGUACCUAAAAUCUCAAAAUUUUGCCAACUGAAUAAGGCCUAAUCACACAAAAAUAUAAUAUAAGUGAGCGUAUCAGUCGAUAAAUCUGAAGAUGAAAGGACGCAGAGAAGAACAAGAUGUAAAGACAGGGUUCCCAAUGCGAAUUCAUUAUAGAGAAAGAAAGUAUAAAAAUUGUUAGGAUGAUUAUAAAUAAAUCUGAGAUUCUUAAUGAAUGCAAAUUUUCUUAUAUUCUUAGGAGCUGAGAUUUUGAAAACGUUUGAAGAAAUCCAACAAAUAUAUUCCCAACUUGUUUUAGCAAAAUCAAAAAUUCAUUGAUUUAUCAAUUUUUUUUUUGGGAACUAUUGGAAAUGCUCUAAGCCACCAAAAAAAGAUAUGAUCUAGUCUAGAGAUAGUUAGUCCAAAACGAGGUUUUAGGAAACAUAUUUUCAUAAAAAAAAACAGGGCUAUCCAAACAACCCUUGUUACCGUAAAAAAUGGUAUCAUCUAUCGGACCUACGCACGUACACAACCUCGCUGUCCCACGAGAACAUACCGCACAACUGAAACGCCGGCCCCCAUGUUUAUGCGCCUAAACACUGAUAUGACCAGGCGGGGUGUGACGAGCUGAUAGAGCGCGUCCCCGAGCCGGCCGAGCGGCCUGAGCUCCAAGACAGACACGAACGGCGUGCCGUGGCCGGUGUUGACCAGGCACCACGGCGCCCAGCCUGCCCACGCGACGAAGAUCGCCUCGUAGGCGUAGCUGCUCCACGCAUUCGGGUACACUGUUUGCCAGUAGUUGGCCCCCAGGUGCAGGUCGAACUGCAGCGACGAGCUGUUCUUGCCGUCGUAGUUGCCGUACGUGAACUCCGCCCGCACCAGGUACUUGGUCCCGGCCACGGUGGGGAGCGCGUAGCAGUUCCGCUCGCCGGACGGGAAGCUCCUCAGCGUUU
rnacentral:lncRNA from 1 species